AUUCUGUCCUCGUGACGUCGUUUUUGUCAAAGCUUGGAUAAGGUUGCAGUCUGAGCAUUUUCCCGCAGAGUGGAGCAUCCUGCUGUCGCGAGAGGAUCUUUGCAGCCGUGAGCGGCCGCAGCUCCCAGCUGCGGGUCUCAGUGACAGAGAGGAGCCGAGAGGAGAGGACAGAGGGACUAUUUCCAUUCACCUCCGCGGACAGGGGACGAGCUGCGGCUGCAGAUCCAGGAAGUGACAUCAAAAGAAGCUGACUUGACAACAAAUCCCAGAUGGCUCAUGGUAUCCAUGAAGAGGACCUGAUCAGACACGAAUUUCCAUCCUUUGGAUAUCACUUCCACUACUUAGCUAAGGGAUUGACAGGCUAAUUUUUCCUGUGAACACCUGGAGCUCAAGAGAUGUCACUUUCCCUUUUAUAUUUUUGUGAGAAGAUGAUUAUUGACAGGCGUCGUCCACUUUCUGCCGUGUUUUUGGUGGAAGAGCUUAGCUCGAGCUAACUCUUUUGUUGUUUGACGGUUUGAGAUGGACACCUAAAACCAAACGUUUUUGGAUGAAAGUACAAUGCUCCACACAGAUGCUUGGGAUUGUUCAGCAUAUCUGUGAUCUCUAAACAGUCCAUUGUAACGGGAACUGUGCAUGUUGUGCAGACAUCAUCAACACCAUGCGGCAUCUCUGACACAGAGGACAAAAACAGAAAGACACAUCUGGCCCCAGAAAACUGAUGGUUAAAUGGAGACCAGAAAUAAUCCAAAGCUGAUUCAGUGAGCAACAGGAGGGAAAACGCACCGUCUGGCUGCAGGGGGAGGAGCACUCAACCUGGGACUCUGUUCUGCUUUUAGUUGGUAUGGGUUUGAACGCCUGCUGACCGUCAAAAGGAAUGGUCAUGGGUUUGGUGAAACCUCCUGAUUGGAGCAUGCAGGGACAAGACCCAUCUUGAUUGACAAAUCAGAACUUAAUAAAAAAGUUUUCUCCCCCCCACUUACCUCUAGUGGGGGGGAGGGUGACGGGAGCUUCCUGUUUUGCGGUGUAGGACUUCAGAUUUUUAGUUGUAGAUUUUAGACGUUAGGUUUUAGGUGAUAGUCUAGACCUUAAGACGGCUUUAUUCUAUCCCUCCAGUGUUUAGUUCAUUUCAGUGUUUAGACUACUGUGCCCAGCAGUUAGGCAUUGUUUUUUUUUGAGUCAGCUAUUGGCUCUGCACCAGUGACUUACCCUGAUCUUACCGGCUCUUCAGUUUAUCACCCAGGAUUAGUUCAUCUUGGUCAGAAAACACAGAUCAGUCU
rnacentral:lncRNA from 1 species